GAAUAGAAAUCAACCGAGAUUCCGUCAGUAGUGGCGAGCGAACGCGGAUCAGGCUAAACCGGCCACGUGGAAUACCCGGCAGGGGUUGCGUGGUGGGGGUUGUUGGGUGCACUUGGUGUGGUACUGCCGUAUCACGCAGUGGAUAUGCCAUGUAGACGAAGAGGUUUGGAUGCCUCACCGUAGAGGGUGACAGUCCCGUAGUUGAA
rnacentral:rRNA from 1 species